GGAGCCGGUUUUAUACAUGCAAGCUUGUUUUAAAUUUUUUAUUUAAAUGGCGUAUAGGUGAGUAAGAAAUAAGAACCUAAAAUACUGUUGGAGGAAUCUCCAUAAAAAAUAAAUUUUAUUUUAAAAGCAAAUGCGCAGUAUAAGGGCUUAUUUAGUAUUAUGGUAGUUGGUUAUGUUAAAAGCUAACCAAGCCUUAGAUGCUUAGCAGGCUUUAACGAGUGAUCUGCCACAACGGGCUUGAAAUAGUGCCUGAACAUUUAUGGCAGCAGUAAAGAAUCUUGGGCAAUGCAUUCAAGUGUGACCCAGCAAGUCUCCGUGGAUGAUGAAGAUAUUAAAAUUAUAUUGUAAAAUUCUAUCUUUUUAUAUUUAUAAUGAAUUAUAAAAAAGGAAAGCACAGGCUAAAUUCGUGCCAGCAGCCGCGGUAAUACGGAUUGUGCAAGUCUUUGACCUCGUGACUAGGUGUAAAAGGCCACAUAGGAGGUUAUAAAAGUUAUUGAGUAAAUACAGGGUAUAAACCUUGGAAUCUUAAUAAAACUUUAUAACUAGAAUAUAAUA
rnacentral:rRNA from 1 species